rnacentral:rRNA from 1 species
UACGUAGGGUGCGAGCGUUAAUCGGAAUUACUGGGCGUAAAGCGUGCGCAGGCGGUUUUGUAAGCCAGAUGUGAAAGCCCCGGGCUUAACCUGGGAAUGGCAUUUGGGACUGCAAGGCUGGAGUAUGGGAGAGGGAAGCGGAAUUUCUGGUGUAGCAGUGAAAUGCGUAGAUAUCAGAAGGAACAUCAGUGGCGAAGGCAGCCUCCUGGGCCAGCACUGACGCUCAUGCACGAAAGCGUGGGGAGCAAACAGG